rnacentral:snRNA from 1 species
AAAUUUUGAAAAAAAACAACAACAAAAAAUCUGUUCUUAUCAGUUUAAUAUCUGAUACGUCCCCUAUCCGGGGACCAUAUAUUAAAUUGAUUUUUGGAACAGGGAGAUGGAAUAGGGGCUUGCUCCGUCCACUCCACGCAUCGACCUGGUAUUGCAGUAUCUCCAGGAACGGUGCACCUCCC